GUGAACGCUGGCGGUAGGCCUAACACAUGCAAGUCGAACGGCAGCACAGUAAGAUCUUGCUCUUACGGGUGGCGAGUUGCGGACUGGUGAGGAAUACAUCGGAAUCUACUUUUUCGUGGGGGAUAACGUAGGGAAACUUACGCUAAUACCGCAUACGACCUACGGGUGAAAGCAGGGGAUCUUCGGACCUUGCGCGAUUGAAUGAGCCGAUUUCGGAUUAGCUAGUUGGCGGGGUAAAGGCCCACCAAGGCGACGAUCCGUAGCUGGUCUGAGAGGAUGAUCAGCCACACUGGAACUGAGACACGGUCCAGACUCCUACGGGAGGCAGCAGUGGGGAAUAUUGGACAAUGGGCGCAAGCCUGAUCCAGCCAUACCGCGUGGGUGAAGAAGGCCUUCGGGUUGUAAAGCCCUUUUGUUGGGAAAGAAAAGCAGCAGGUUAAUACCCCGCUGUUCUGACGGUACCCAAAGAAUAAGCACCGGCUAACUUCGUG
rnacentral:rRNA from 1 species